UUUGAAAUAAAUCAGAAUUAAUCUGAGCCACAUGAUCUAGCGCGAAAAUGUAAUCAAGCGUUCCAUAUUUGAAACUCAAAACGCACAACAUUACUAAACACAGUCAGGAUACCACUCAAGCAAGUCAAACACACGCAAGCAUGGUCAAACAAAUGAGAACCAAUGGAAUGGACAUGCAAGCGAAACAAUCAGCAUCCAGCAAGCAUAAGUGAAACGCAG
rnacentral:lncRNA from 1 species